rnacentral:rRNA from 1 species
UACGGAGGGGGCUAGCGUUGUUCGGAAUUAUUGGGCGUAAAGGGUGCGUAGGCGGUUUGGUAAGUCUUGUGUGAAAUCUACAGGCUCAACUUGUAGUCUGCACGAGAAACUGCCGGGCUUGAGUGUGGGAGAGGUGAGUGGAAUUCCUGGUGUAGCGGUGAAAUGCGUAGAUAUCAGGAGGAACACCUGUGGCGAAAGCGGCUCACUGGACCAUAACUGACGCUGAUGCACGAAAGCUAGGGGAGCAAACAGG